rnacentral:rRNA from 1 species
UACGAAGGGGGCUAGCGUUGCUCGGAAUUACUGGGCGUAAAGGGCGCGUAGGCGGACAGUUUAGUCAGAGGUGAAAGCCCAGGGCUCAACCUUGGAAUUGCCUUUGAUACUGGCUGUCUUGAGUUCGGGAGAGGUGAGUGGAAUGCCGAGUGUAGAGGUGAAAUUCGUAGGUAUUCGGCGGAACACCAGUGGCGAAGGCGACUCACUGGCCCGAUACUGACGCUGAGGCGCGAAAGCGUGGGGAGCAAACAGG